rnacentral:lncRNA from 1 species
AUGCAGAUUAGACAGCAGCGGUGAUCCAGAACCCCAAACCAGCGACUGACACUCAGCGAGAGCAAUGAACACACUCUCUCUCGCUGCAGGACACUAACCAGUGCUUUAUGAGCCUGACUCACCAGUGCCAUCUUGACCAUGUUAGCGCUCGAUGGAGUCUAUUAACGCCGAAAUAUCCAAGAUUCCCAAACACAGGCUAUCUUUAACCGAAUCCAGUGAGGUUAUUGAAUUAUUGCGGUCUGUUCUAAAACGAGAGCGAGUCGCCUGAGGGAACGGCGCACAGACGUCUCACAGCGGGAUGCUUGUGCUUUCGCCAGGUGUGUUCUGAUGUCUUCUGCA